rnacentral:rRNA from 1 species
CAGGGGGAUAACAGUCAGAAAUGACUGCUAAUCCCGCAUAAGCGCACAGUACCGCAUGGUACGGUGUGAAAAACUCCGGUGGUAUGGGAUGGACCCGCGUCUGAUUAGCUAGUUGGUGGGGUAACGGCCUACCAAGGCGACGAUCAGUAGCCGGCCUGAGAGGGCGACCGACCACAUUGGGACUGAGACACGGCCCAAACUCCUACGGGAGGCAGCAGUGGGGAAUAUUGCACAAUGGGGGAAACCCUGAUGCAGCGACGCCGCGUGAGCGAAGAAGUAUUUCGGUAUGUAAAGCUCUAUCAGCAGGGAAGAAAAUGACGGUACCUGACUAAGAAGCCCCGGCUAACUACGUGCCAGCAGCCGCGGUAAUACGUAGGGGGCAAGCGUUAUCCGGAUUUACUGGGUGUAAAGGGAGCGUAGACGGAAUGGCAAGUCUGAUGUGAAAGGCCGGGGCUCAACCCCGGGACUGCAUUGGAAACUGUCAAUCUAGAGUACCGGAGGGGUAAGUGGAAUUCCUAGUGUAGCGGUGAAAUGCGUAGAUAUUAGGAGGAACACCAGUGGCGAAGGCGGCUUACUGGACGGUAACUGACGUUGAGGCUCGAAAGCGUGGGGAGCAAACAGGAUUAGAUACCCUGGUAGUCCACGCCGUAAACGAUGAAUACAAGGUGUUGGGGAGCAAAGCUAUUUGGUGCCGCAAGCAAAACGCAAUAAGUAUUCCCCCUGGGGAGUACUUUCGCAAGAAUGUAAACUCUAAGGAAUUGACGGGGACCCGCACAAGCGGUGGUGCAUGUGGUUUAAUUCGAAGCAACGCGAAGAACCUUACCAAAUCUUGACAUCGAUCUGACCGGACUGUAAUGAGUCCUUUCCCUUCGGGGACAGAGAAGACAGGUGGUGCAUGGUUGUCGUCAGCUCGUGUCGUGAGAUGUUGGGUUAAGUCCCGCAACGAGCGCAACCCUUAUCCUCAGUAGCCAGCAAGUGAAGUUGGGCACUUUGUGGAGACUGCCAGGGAUAACCUGGAGGAAGGUGGGGAUGACGUCAAAUCAUCAUGCCCCUUAUGAUUUGGGCUACACACGUGCUACAAUGGCGUAAACAAAGGGAAGCGAUCACGCGAGUGUGAGCAAAUCUCAAAAAUAACGUCUCAGUUCGGAUUGUAGUCUGCAACUCGACUACAUGGAGCUGGAAUCGCUAGUAAUCGCAGGUCAGCAUACUGCGGUGAAUACGUUCCCGGGUCUUGCACACACCGCCCGUCA